rnacentral:rRNA from 1 species
CCUACGGGUGGCUGCAGUGGGGAAUAUUGCACAAUGGGCGAAAGCCUGAUGCAGCGACGCCGCGUGAGCGAAGAAGGCCUUCGGGUCGUAAAGCUCUGUCCUAAGGGAAGAAAAGGACGGUACCUCAGGAGGAAGCACCGGCUAACUACGUGCCAGCAGCCGCGGUAAUACGUAGGGGGCGAGCGUUAUCCGGAAUUACUGGGCGUAAAGGGUGCGUAGGCGGCCUUUUAAGUCAGAUGUGAAAGGCUACGGCUUAACUGUAGUUAGCAUUUGAAACGAGAAGGCUUGAGUGCAGGAGAGGAGGGGGGAAGUCCGAGUGUAGCUGUGAAAGGCGUAGAUAUUUGGAGGAACUUGAGUGGCGAAGGCGACUCUCUGGUCUGCAACUGACGCUGAGGCACGAAAGCGUGGGGAGCGAGCAGGAUUGGGUACCCGAGUAGUG